AAAUUGUAAGAGAAGUUGAAGGAGAGAGAAAAAAUAAGAGAGAGAGAACAUGGGUCUCUGCUUUGGUUGCUUCGGCGCAGACAAGCGCAUGAGCAAGGAAGAAGAGAGGUUGGCCUCUGAAGAAGCGCGUGCUAAAGCUGCUGAAGCGGCACAGAAAAGACAAGAGCAAUUUGAGAAAUCUGCAGCAGGACGAGCUGCACGUGCACAGCAACAGGCAAUGGCAAAGCAAUCUGCAAACUCCAACAAAGGCGAACCAGUUCUAAAGUGGCAGAUGGGUUGAGAUUAGGCACUCUGUGGAAUCAACUUUUAUUAGGUGUAAGCUCACUGUCCAAAGUGUGUAUCAAGGUGGAAAAAAAGGAUGGAGUCGGAUAUAAACUUCAAUAAAAUAUUAAUGUAUUGAUGACAGAUCCAAUCAAAUUCUACCCGCUGCAUGUUUCCCUUGUUUGGAAGAUGUAAAGAUAUUUACAGCAAUAAUUAUAUCUUAAGUGUAAUUUGUUGUUUUCCAGACCAAGAAAAAUAGUGAAUGUAAAUUUGUAAAGAAAUCGUGGUAGCUGGAAAAGUUCAGAUGGCUGUUUGUUUUUCUUCCCUUUAAUGAAAUUCAGCAACUCCAUUUGCGUUCUAUAAACAUUCAAGUCCUCAACUUGUUUCCUUAA